rnacentral:tRNA from 1 species
GGGUAGUGGAAGCAGAGCAAGAUGCAAACGUGUAGAAGCACCCCAAAAAGGUGCCCCGGCU